GCUUGUCUCAAAGAUUAAGCCAUGCAUGUCUAAGUAUAGUACCUUAUACUGCGAAACUGCGAAUGGCUCAUUAAAUCAGUUAUAAUUCAUUUGAUGGUACUUACUACUCGGAUAACCGUAGUAAUUCUAGAGCUAAUACAUGCUGUAAAGCCCGACUUUUCGGAAGGGCCGUAUUUAUUAGAUAACAGACCAAUAUUCCUCGUGUCUAUUGUGGUGAAUCAUAGUAACUAAUCGGAUCGCAUGGGCUAGUCCCGCGACAAACCAUUCAAGUUUCUGCCCCAUCAGCUUUCGAUGGUAGUGUAUUGGACUACCAUGGCUUUUACGGGUAACGGAGGAUUAGGGUUCGAUUCCGGAGAGGGAGCCUGAGAAACGGCUACCACAUCUAAGGAAGGCAGCAG
rnacentral:rRNA from 1 species